GGAAAAGAAACUAACAAGGAUUCCCCUAGUAACGGCGAGUGAAGAGGGAAAAGCCCAAGAUUGAAAGCUGGCGCCUUCGGCGUCCGCAUUGUAAUCUCAAGAAGUGUUUUCCGCUUCGGACCAAGCCUAAGUUUCCUGGAAAGGAGCAUCGUAGAGGGUGAAAAUCCCGUACAUGGUUUGGAGCGCCCGGAGCUUUGUGAUACACUUUCUAAGAGUCGAGUUGUUUGGGAAUGCAGCUCAAAAUGGGUGGUAAAUGCCAUCUAAGGCUAAAUAUUGGGGAGAGACCGAUAGCGAACAAGUACAGUGAUGGAAAGAUGAAAAGAACUUUGAAAAGAGAGUUAAACAGUACGUGAAAUUGCCAAAAGGGAAGGGUAGGAGGUCAGAGAUGCGGCCUGGGAUUCAGCCUUACUUAUGUUUGGUGUAUUUCCCAAGUUGCAGGCCAACGUCGGUUUUGGACACUGGAGAAGGGUAAGAGGAAUGUGGCACUCUUCGGAGUGUGUUAUAGCCUCUUACUGGAUGCAGCGACCGAGACCGAGGAAAGCAGCGUACUCGUAAGAGCGGGCCUUCGGGCACCUUUACGCUUAGGGCGUUGGCAUAAUGGCCUUCUACCACCCGUCUUGAAACACGG
rnacentral:rRNA from 1 species